rnacentral:rRNA from 1 species
AUGAAUCUGUUGGCCUGGAACUGUCGAGGAUUGGGGUUGACCUCGACAGUUGGCGAACUUCGGGACCUGAUUAGUUCGCACAACCCAGUGGUGGUAUUUCUAUGUGAAACAAAAAUAAAAGCAAGGGCGAUGGAGAAGUUGAAGUGGAGUCUCGGGUUUAAGAGUGGUGUAGCAGUAGACUGUGUGGGACGAAGUGGAGGACUCGCCUUGUGGUGGAGAGAUCAUAUUAAUGUAACAGUGACACCUUGGUGCCAAUAUUUCAUUGAUGCAGAGUUAUCUUGGGAGGUCAAGACAUGUAGAUUCACUAGAUUCUACGGUGAGUCCAAGACCGAGCUUCGCAAAAAAUCAUGGGAUGCCAUAAGAUAUCUCGCGAGUCAAGAUAACCUGCCGUGGUUAUGUGCGGGGGACUAUAACGAGGCCCUCUUCCAGAUGGAUCAAAUAGGCGGGAACCAGAGGAGUUUCAAUCAGAUGGAAGACUUUCGUGAUUGUCUAGCAGAGAGCAGGCUGGCUGAUUUGGGCUUCUCGGGAUACCCAUACACAUGGGAUAACAAAAGAGACAGAGGGGAGAACAUCCAGGUAAGACUAGAUCGAGCCACAUGCAAUGAUACAUUCCUCGAGCUAUUCCCGGAGACGUCGGUGGAGCAUAUCAUCACAGAGGAGUCCGGUCAUCAAGCAAUCCUUGUGAGGGCGAUGGAGACAGCUCCGCGUCGCCUUGAACGAGGGGAUAGACCUUUUAGGUUUGAGGAGGCAUGGACGAGACAUGAGAAAUACAAUGAGAUGGUGUAG